GAUGAACGCUGGCGGCGUGCUUAACACAUGCAAGUCGAACGGAAAGGCCCAAGCUUGCUUGGGUACUCGAGUGGCGAACGGGUGAGUAACACGUGGGUGAUCUGCCCUGCACUUCGGGAUAAGCCUGGGAAACUGGGUCUAAUACCGGAUAGGACCACUUCUUGGAUGUUGUGGUGGAAAGUUUUUUCGGUGUGGGAUGAGCUCGCGGCCUAUCAGCUUGUUAGUGGGGUAAUGGCCUACCAAGGCGUCGACGGGUAGCCGGCCUGAGAGGGUGUACGGCCACAUUGGGACUGAGAUACGGCCCAGACUCCUACGGGAGGCAGCAGUGGGGAAUAUUGCACAAUGGGCGCAAGCCUGAUGCAGCGACGCCGCGUGGGGGAUGACGGCCUUCGGGUUGUAAACUCCUUUCGCUAGGGACGAAGCGUUUUGUGACGGUACCUGGAGAAGAAGCACCGGCUAACUACGUG
rnacentral:rRNA from 1 species